rnacentral:rRNA from 1 species
CCUACGGGUGGCAGCAGUGGGGAAUAUUGCACAAUGGGGGAAACCCUGAUGCAGCGACGCCGCGUGAAGGAUGAAGUAUUUCGGUAUGUAAACUUCUAUCAGCAGAGAAGAAAAUGACGGUAUCUGACUAAUAAGCACCGGCUAACUACGUGCCAGCAGCCGCGGUAAUACGGAGGGGGCAAGCGUUAUCCGGAUUUACUGGGUGUAAAGGGAGCGUAGGCGGUUUAGCAAGUCAGAAGUGAAAGCCCGGGGCUCAACUCCGGGACUGCUUUUGAAACUGUUGAACUAGAGUGUAGGAGAGGUAAGUGGAAUUCUUAGUGUAGCGGUGAAAUGCGUAGAGAUUAGGAGGAACACCAGUGGCGAAGGCGGCUUACUGGACUGUAAAUGACGCUGAGGCGCGAAAGCGUGGGGAGCAAACAGGAUUAGAUACCCGAGUAGUC